CAAACAUCAUGAAGUACAAAUAUCAGUCACACUAAAAACAGCAUCCCCACUCAGCAGCAGAUCUCCAGCGCGCAGCAGCAACACAAGGCAGCACAGCAUCCCUCCCAGAACCCCUCGCCUCGGCUCUUUGUCUCCGCCGGAGCCUGCUCCGCUAUCACCUCGUCCUUCACCGGGUAUCCCACCGGAGGCGGCGGCACUGUAUACUCUGUAGCAGUAGCAGCUUGUUGGUGGUCAG
rnacentral:misc_RNA from 1 species